UCCUUCAUCUUCUUACUUCCGCUCGAACGCUUCUUCUCCUCCUUGCAACUUUCUUUUCCUUACCUUUCACUUACAAUGGCACUCAUUUUCUCUGACUAGUGCUCUCGUUUUUUUAUCUUCGUGGAAUUUGUGUUCUUAUUUCUCCAAAGCCAUUUUCUUCUUCGUAGAAAUCUUCUUCCAAUCUUCUACGUCUCCAAUAUCCUGAUGAGUGGCUUUUUUCAAAUUGAAUGUGGCAUCAAGACACAUUUUCCUGGUUUAUGGUUGGCUGAGGUCAGUGCAGAGUGAUACAAAGUGGUUGAUGUUCCUGAAUGAGGUAAAUUUUGGUGAUAGUUCAAAUUGAUUGUGUUGUGUAGGAGCUGAAAUGAAUGGCUAAACCUUGGUUGAAAUGAAAGGUUUAACUCAAUCAUGAAAUUUUGGAAUUUUGCAAUUAGAUAUACUAGUAUGAAUGUUAUUGUUUGCAGGUUUUUAGAAUUAUGUUAUCCUGUAUAAUAUAAUUUUUAACUUCUCAAUUG